rnacentral:rRNA from 1 species
CCUACGGGGGGCUGCAGUGGGGAAUAUUGGACAAUGGGGGCAACCCUGAUCCAGCCAUGCCGCGUGUGUGAAGAAGGCCCUCGGGUUGUAAAGCACUUUCAGUGAGGAAGAACGCCUGGUGGUUAAUACCCAUCAGGAAAGACAUCACUCACAGAAGAAGCACCGGCUAACUCCGUGCCAGCAGCCGCGGUAAUACGGAGGGUGCGAGCGUUAAUCGGAAUUACUGGGCGUAAAGCGCGCGUAGGUGGCUUGAUAAGCCGGAUGUGAAAGCCCCGGGCUCAACCUGGGAACGGCAUCCGGAACUGGCAAGCUAGAGUGCAGGAGAGGAAGGUAGAAUUCCCGGUGUAGCGGUGAAAUGCGUAGAGAUCGGGAGGAAUACCAGUGGCGAAGGCGGCCUUCUGGACUGACACUGACACUGAGGUGCGAAAGCGUGGGUAGCAAACAGGAUUAGAUACCCUUGUAGUC